rnacentral:rRNA from 1 species
CGCGGCCUAUCAGCUUGUUGGUGAGGUAAUGGCUCACCAAGGCGACGACGGGUAGCCGGCCUGAGAGGGUGACCGGCCACACUGGGACUGAGACACGGCCCAGACUCCUACGGGAGGCAGCAGUGGGGAAUAUUGCACAAUGGGCGAAAGCCUGAUGCAGCGACGCCGCGUGAGGGACGACGGCCUUCGGGUUGUAAACCUCUUUCAGCAGGGAAUAAGCGAAAGUGAAGGUACCUGCAGAAGAAGCACCGGCUAACUACGUGCCAGCAGCCGCGGUAAUACGUAGGGUGCAAGCGUUAUCCGGAAUUAUUGGGCGUAAAGAGCUCGUAGGCGGUUUGUCGCGUCCGUCGUGAAAGUCCGGGGCUCAACUCCGGAUCUGCGGUGGGUACGGGCAGACUAGAGUGAUGUAGGGGAGACUGGAAUUCCUGGUGUAGCGGUGGAAUGCGCAGAUAUCAGGAGGAACACCGAUGGCGAAGGCAGGUCUCUGGGCAUUAACUGACGCUGAGGAGCGAAAGCAUGGGGAGCGAACAGGAUUAGAUACCCUGGUAGUCCAUGCCGUAAACGUUGGGCACUAGGUGUGGGGGACAUUCCUCGUUUUCCGCGCCGUAGCUAACGCAUUAAGUGCCCCGCCUGGGGAGUACGG